UUAAAUAAAUUUAUAAUGUGACAUAUGGGUCUUCAGCUUUUAGACAUGACUAAUACAAGCACAACAAAGCACCCAACCCAAUAUCGCGUGAUAAUCGUGAUCGUGUAAAAAGUCCACACAUUUAGCAUAUUUUUACAAUACUAGCCUAACUUUUGCUUGACCACGUCAUGUGUAGCCAAUACACACACAGUAACUACAGCAUAUUUACCAUGCUUCUCCUACUGUAACCGUAGUUUUACUCUGGACUUUGUAACGCACAUAACCACGACAUUUACUAUGGGUUUACCAUAGUAACCAUAGUUUUACUCUGGUAUUUGUAGUUACUAACACACAAUAACCACGACAUUUACUAUGGGUUUACCAUAGUAACCAUAGUUUUACUCUGGUAUUUGUAUUUACUAACACACAAUAACCACAACACUUACCAGGAUUUUACCACAGUAACUGUUUUUACUCUACACUAUUUGUAAAGCACAGUAACCACUAAGUUUGCCAUGCCUUUAAUAUCUUUUUGUGAUGUAAUUGUAAUUCAGUGUUUUUUCUGUCUUGCAGUUACAUCGGAUUACAUACUCCACAACAACCUGUAAUCCAGCAGAUCUUUAAAGAAGCCAUCUCUUGUAAAAUCUCUCUCUCUCUCUCUCUCUCUCUCUCUCUCUCUCUCUCUCUCUCUCUCUCUCGCUCUCGCUCUGCUAGAAUUAACAGGGAACUUCAACUCCACGCUCCCAAUGCUGAUAUUGAAGAAGCUGUCAAGGGGGCUGAACAAGUCCUUCAAAGGAUCAACCCUUCACAGGAAGGCCUGUCAUGAGAUUUGAAUUUGACCAUCUUGUGCAUUUAUGAAGAAGACCAAAAGCUGCAAAGGCAACACUUCCAAUGGAUUUCUCACAGAUUACUUAAUCAUUCUUCAUCAGCUCUUCACAAUAUCAGCCCAUUCAAAAGCUUCCAGAUCUUCCUCUCUUGUGUGACACAUCUGCUCUCAGUCCUUUACUGCCAACCUCCAGUCUUAGCAUUUCUGCUUGUAUUCAUUUUUGCUCUACAUUCAUCACUCCAAUCUCUACUAUAAGCACUCCUGUAUAUAUAUAUACACACAUAAUAAUAAUAAUUAUUAUUAUUAACCAUUUAUUUGUUUUGCAUUUAUUCACAAUAGAAGCAAACAAUGAUUACAGGAUAUAUGUUUUUAAAGGUGAUAAUUGUAAAAUAUUGGAGCAUUGUUCUUAAUCAUUUUUGCCUAUUUGGUUGAUAAAGGGAAGAAAACAAUAUAUUUUCAACUGUAGCCUUGAUUAUUCUUUGGCAUCUUUUGUCAGGAUUUCUGUAAACAAAUUCCCUUUUUAUUUUUGAAUAUUAAACUUAUGUUUUUUGAAGGGAGUUUCUGUUGCAAUUUUGUUUGUUUUCACUUAGUUACCUCUAUGCAUUUUUUUUUUUAUCAACUUUUCUUUUUUUUUCAUAGUGGAAUAAACUGGAGAGAGACUGUUCUGGGCACUAUGUUUAUCUGCGAAAAGUUUGACAUAUCAAUAAACACUGUAAAAUGA